UCGCCGCCCAUCGCCCGCCUGGGCUGACCCUUCUGGAGAGACACGGAUGGGCCUCGUCGUUCUGACGGGAGGGGGACGGAUGGGCCUCUUUGUUAACGGCUCCUUCGGGGCUCCUCCGGCAUCGCUCGAGCUGCACAAAGACGCGGAUAGGAACUCGGGCUGCACGGUAUGGGCAUUCCUUCUAUUUCAAUCGUGUCGCAUGAGCUGAUCAAACUGUUGUAUCGUGCCAAGUGUUCCAACGUAACCACUGUUUGUAUUGGCACUUCUGGUGGAAUAGGUCUGGAGCCAGGCUCAGUGGUUAUAACCCGGCAGUGUGGAGGAACCCCCUUCAAACCUCAAUUUGAAGAGGUUGUUCUGGGAAAGACCGUACUUCGCAGUACAAACCUGGAUGAACAGCUGGCUAAGGAACUGAUGCAGUGCGGGAAAGAAAUCGGUCGAUUCGAUACAGUCAUUGGAAACACGAGGUGCACUUUGGAUUGCAGUGGAGCCAGGUCUGGAGCACCUUCAAAAGAGACAGCCCUGCUUGCCAGGCAGAGACCGUAUCCCCAUCCCGGGACAGCUGCUGGGACGUCUCAUCUUUUACUGCUUUUGCAAGAGCUGGGAGAUCAGAUGGGGGGCUUUGGAUGCUCUUCAUUACCUCUUCAGAUUCUUCCAGCAGCCAAACUGUCAGAGGAGCUGGGGUGGGCUGCCUCCCUCCACACACACAGACCUUUCCUCGUGUGCCUGCUUCUCUCGCUGAGUAUUGCAAGGGAGUUCUCUGGUGCUUCUGGAAGUCAUGCAUGAAAGUCUGCCAGAUACCAGACCUCCUUGGCCCCACACACCCCCAAGUCCUUCUCCUCAAGGCUGCUCUCCAUCACAUCGUCCCCCAUCGUGUACUGAAAACAGGGAUUGCCCCGACCCGGGUUUAGGACCUUGCCCUUGGCCUUGUUGAAUGUCAUGAGGUUCUCGUAGCCCCACUUCUCCAGCCUGUCCAGGUCCCUCUGGAUGACAUCCCAUCCUUCCGGUGUGGCAACUGCACCACUCAGCUUGGUGUCCUCACCAAGGGAAAGAGCAAAGCUGAUGCACUUGCAGCAGCGCUGGCUGUUGUCCUUCAACAUUUGGACUUUAUCCUCAGCUGAGUGACUGCUCCCAGGGAGUGGUGUUUGACAGCCUGGAGACCCUCUUUGCACGCAACAUGGUGUCUGCUCUCCUCUGCCUGCUUAAAGCUGUCAGAAAACAACCUCAUAUCUAUUUUGUGAACCUGUCCCGGGAUUAUGCUUCUUGGAAAGCCGGGGAGGCAGCGGUGAAAGAUGAGAAAGUGGCAAGCCCUCUGAUGUAGACCCUGGCUGCAGGGAGCUGGGCUCUGUGCUGGCCUUGCCACUGCGCUUCGGAGUGUUUCUAAGUUAGUGGAUUGUCAUCUGCAGCCCCUUCUUCACCAAACCAGAUGGAUUGUC